CGGGACACAACACUGGACCGGAACCCACGGAUGCUAGGUAUGCUAAUGCUACUUUGGCAGCUGUUAGCUAGCUAACGUCUUAGCCGAUAAGUAAACUGUACCGUUAGCUUAACCGUAUCCAGCGUCUCGACAAUUUUUUAAAAUAUAGGUAUAUAUGCUACCUUAAACCAUGUAAACUAUGGCCACCCGUGAGAGCUGGCAGCUUGGUGCCGUUAACAACAUUUGUCAGCUAAAACUGAACGAUCGAACGUCCCUCAUCGUCGAUCAAAAACACAGACCAUCGUCAAGCUAAAAGCUGUCCCGGUCGCUGCUCCACCCCCUCUGCCAAUCCAGGGAGAGCUACAGACCACCACAUGCCUUCCUCCAAUACAUGUGGAGUCACCAGCCGCUUCUUUUCACCUGACAGUGAGGAGUUUCACCAGGGGGACGUAGUGCGUGGGAAGAUCAUGCUAUUCCCCCCAGGUCCCCCACCGCCCUGAACAGGCACCCCGACUGAGCACUAGUGCAGCAACCAGGACACAUACCCACAUCCGGCUUCCCACCCGCAGACACGACCAAUUGUGUCUGUAGGGACACCUGACCAAGCCGGAGGUAACAUGGGGAUUCGAACCGGCAGUCCCCGUGUUGGUAGGCAACGGAAUAGACCGCCAUGCCACCCGGACGCCCCCAGCUCAGAAAGUUAAGAUGGAGGAGCAUGUUCCUUGUCCUCCUCUGGUGAACUUUCCUCCGUAUCUGUUACUGUGAGAUUGUCAUCCUUCUCAGCCCCAGUGAAGUCGCUUUUUUCCUCAACAGCGGGAGGGAUCACCACUUC